rnacentral:rRNA from 1 species
UGCUGAAUCAUUCACAAUGGACGAAAGUCUGAUGAUGCGACGCCGCGUGGAGGAUGAAGGCCUUCGGGUUGUAAACUCCUGUCAGGGAUUAGGAAAAAAAUGACCAAUCCCAGAGGAAGCACCGGCUAAAUUCGUGCCAGCAGCCGCGGUAAUACGAAUGGUGCGAGCGUUGUUCGGAAUCACUGGGCAUAAAGGGUGCGUAGGCGGUUUGUUUAGUCGGCUGUGAAAUCCCUCGGCUCAACCGGGGAAUUGCAACCGAUACUGGCAAGCUUGAGGAUAUGAGGGGUGAGCGGAAUUCCAGGUGUAGCGGUGAAAUGCGUAGAUAUCUGGGAGAACGCCAAUGGCGAAGGCAGCUCACUGGCAUAUUUCUGACGCUGAGGCACGAAAGCGUGGGGAGCAAACA